rnacentral:rRNA from 1 species
GGGAGCUUGCUCCUGGAUUAGUGGCGAACGGGUGAGUAACACGUGAGUAACCUGCCCUUAACUCUGGGAUAAGCCUGGGAAACUGGGUCUAAUACCGGAUAUGACUCCUCAUCGCAUGGUGGGGGGUGGAAAGCUUUUUGUGGUUUUGGAUGGACUCGCGGCCUAUCAGCUUGUUGGUGAGGUAAUGGCUUACCAAGGCGACGACGGGUAGCCGGCCUGAGAGGGUGACCGGCCACACUGGGACUGAAACACGGCCCAGACUCCUACGGGAGGCAGCAGUGGGGAAUAUUGCACAAUGGGCGAAAGCCUGAUGCAGCGACGCCGCGUGAGGGAUGACGGCCUUCGGGUUGUAAACCUCUUUCAGUAGGGAAGAAGCGAAAGUGACGGUACCUGCAGAAAAAGCGCCGGCUAACUACGUGCCAGCAGCCGCGGUAAUACGUAGGGCGCAAGCGUUAUCCGGAAUUAUUGGGCGUAAAGAGCUCGUAAGCGGUUUGUCGCGUCUGCCGUGAAAGUCCGGGGCUCAACUCCGGAUCUGCGGUGGGUACGGGCAGACUAAAGUGAUGUAGGGGAGACUGGAAUUCCUGGUGUAGCGGUGAAAUGCGCAGAUAUCAAGAGGAACACCGA